rnacentral:misc_RNA from 1 species
GUAGACAGCUCUUAUCCCUCGUUCCGGACAUCAAACGAGCAGGACAUUGGUUACAAGACCUGAGAUUGCCAUCUGGAAAUUUCACUUCUCAAAAUAGUAUUUGGUUUAGAUGUUUCUCGCCUUAUAUGAGAAAUGGAAUCCUGAGAAAAAUUUUAAACUUAUAUUUCGAAAUUCUAUCUGAAAAAAAAAAUCAUCCUAGAAUAAACUUUUAGUAACAGAGAUGAAAGAAAAGUGAGGUUACAAAGAAGUCUUUUGAAGUCUAUCAGUGAAAAGAAAUUUCCAUAAUUGCCCUUUAUAUCCAGAACGAUUCAUCCCAUUCCGAACAGAAUUAACUAAAUCUUGGUAAUAUCUAAGUAAUUACGAAUUAUCCAAAAUGGGAAAUAUCCAAGAGAAGGAAAUCGAUCUUCUGGAAGCAUACAUAGAACUGCAAGACAGUGCACUUAAGGGUAAUUUAUCUCAAUGUGAGGAAAUGUUCAGAAUGAUCUUGAGAGAAAACAAUACUUCAUCAAAGACCGAUGACCUCAAUUAUACAGUUUAUUCUAAGUGUCUUAAUAAUACUAUUCCGAGUGGAUUGUUCAACCAGCCGUAUAUUCUACCUUGGUAUCAGCAACUGUCGUGGACUUUAGUGUUUGCUUUCAUGAUACUGGUGGCAAUUGUGGGAAAUCUGAUCGUCAUAUGGAUAAUAGUAGCCCAUCGUCGAAUGAGAACUGUUACCAAUCUAUUCCUUUUAAAUUUAGCUAUUGCUGAUUUCUUACUGGCAGGUGGAAAUGCUGCCUUUAAUUUUGUCUUCAUGCUAAACAGCCACUGGCCCUUUGGGGGUACAUUUUGUGUGAUAAGCAAUUUUUUAGCCAAUUUGACAGUGUCAACUUCUGUUUUCACGAUUUUGGCUAUGAGCUUGGACAGAUUUGUGGCCGUCACUCGUCCAUUACGCCAAAGAAUGACUAAAACUUUUGCCUGCUCUAUCAUCUUUUUAGUGUGGUCUCUUAGCACUAUUGUCUCUAUUCCUCCCUUAUUGUAUGCAACCACAAUUACGUAUAAGUAUCCUGACCAAGGACAUCGAACUCUUUGUUAUUUAGUGUGGCCGGACGGAGAACCUGGAACAUCGUAUGCCGAUCACGUGUACAACAUCGUAUUCCUGAUCGUAACAUACGUUAUUCCAAUGGGUUGCAUGGCUGUCACGUAUACUUGGGUAGGCUGCGUUCUGUGGGGAAGUAAAGUCAUUGGUGAAAAUACAGAUCGUCAGAAUGAAGUUGUCAAAUCAAAGCAAAGGGUAGUUCAUAUGUUGAUUGCCAUAAUGCUACUUUUCGCCAUUUGUUGGCUACCUUAUCACAUCUACUUUUUGUAUACCUAUUACUACAGAGACGUUUUGCAGACCCAUUUCAUUCAACAUGUAUAUCUAGCUAUCUACUGGCUCGCAAUGUCGAAUUCCUGCUACAAUCCCAUUGUCUACUACAUUAUGAAUGCAAGAUUUCGAAGUUACUUUCAAGAAGUCAUCUGUCUGCGAGGGCGAUCUCUGAAGCCUUCACACACAGCAGCUCAGACACCUAAAUCAGCACCAUUAAUGGCAAGAAGUUCCCUCUUGGUGUCAAACAAUACACGCUCCUGCAAGCUGAGCAUCCAGCGUGGAAGAAAACUGUCUCAACCAGUGAAUUCUGCUUUAUAAAUGGCAUAGUAGAGUCUGCAUUGAUGAACAUGUAAAGAAAGGCUUAUAUCGCAGAAACGAAAGAAUGCUUUGUUUGUUUGAAACACAUUUGCUAUCCGUUUAAUUUUCUCUCAUAAAUCUAAAUUUCUGGUUUAACACAAGGGAUACUUUGCAGUGAAAAUGCCAAGUCUCACAGUAUUUUGAAAAUUUGCUUUUGAUAUUAUGGAAUUUAAGUAAUCUGUAAUUGUGUAUUUCUGUAAGUAUUUGAAGGGCACUUGCAUAUUAGCAUAUCCACCUCGGAGCAGACUGGUGACUUUAUACAGAAGAAAAGAAACGAUGACCUAUAAUUAAAAAAAAAAAAAAAAAAAAAAAAAAAAAACUUAAUUUAUACAUAUUUAACAUUGUAUUCAGUAAUUUGUCUGAUAAAUCAAUUUUUAAACCUAAUCACAAGCGAGCUUUACUUUACAAGCGAGCUUUUAUUCCACUGGAAAUUUUCUGACGAUCACUUCAAGAACAGAAUUUAAGUAACUGUCCUUUUAGUGACUGUGAAGGAACCAGGUACAUUCCCAUAAGUAUUUUAUCCCGGUUUCUUCCAUUAUAGGCAAAUUUCACAAGCACAUGUUUUAAAACUGAGUUUAAGACAAAAACUAUAUGGUCUAUACGAUCUGAUGGAUUUUGUAGUGCUGUAAAAAGAACGCAUAUGAAAAUGGCGACGAUGGAUUUUAAAAUAAAGAAUAAGCUGCUAAUGUGUAUCGCAUUCUGAAAAUUUGGAGACUUUUAUAAGGAUGAUUGCCACUACACGUAAACAACGUCUAAAGUACAGAACAAAGAACACCAUUUAUAUUUUUAGCUGUAUCGAAGAGGGACAUCUGAAGCACUUUCGCGGGUGAAAAGCGAGAAGGGACAAAAGUCGAAACUCUGAAAACUAAAUAUGAAUGUUAAAGUGAUUAAAAUUAUUCAAAAGAGCAAUUCUGAGAUUCGGCAGAGGCGUUUAAUCUUUGGAUAUAACAAUGGUCCUGAUCCACUUCUCUUCAAUGGAAACCUCAGUUAUGAAAUUUAUGUAACCAGAUUACCAGUUUUUUAAAUUGCCUCUCUUCCGUCUUCCGUUCUGAAUCCUGAUGGACAGUCAACUUGCAUUCGCUUGAUCCAGUUUACUUCAAUGGAAACCUCAGUUAUGAAAUUUAUGGAACCAGAUUACCAGUUUUUUAAAUUGCCUCUCUUCCGUUCUGAAUCCUGAUGGACAGUCAACGGUAUCCACUGGCCUGAAUUAGCUGUUACAUGUUCCUGCCAGGAGACCUCGGUCUUGGAACCUCAGUUGGGUGAUAUUAAAUUUUUCUUGUUAUUUCAUUAAAUUCAGAUAUUUCUUAAUCUUAAAAUCUGCAAGAUCUCGCGCUGUUACAGGUGUUACAGGUGUUGUUGUAAAGUUAAUUGUUAAAAAAAAAAAAAAAAAAAAAAAAAAAAAAAAAAA